UGUGCAGAGUUGGGAAUGAGGGGAGAGAAAGAGAAGGAAAGGGAAAGAAAGAAAGGGAAGGAUAAGAAAGGGGGAUGUGAAGAAAGAAAGUGGAGAGAAAAGUGUGGGAUAGCAAAUGCAUGGUUCCAAUGGCUGAAGAACAGUGUCCUGGGAAGGGACAGCCAGCCUCUGCCUUCUGACCAUAUAACCUGAAAGUCACUCCUCAUCAGGGUGCCUUGGUCCUCAUCCUGUCACCCUGCACCACCCUCAGGAACAUUGCUCACCGUGGGACUCUCCAACUCCAGCUUCCUUUAACACUGCUGCAUCUAGGCAGGGACACCCUAAUACUCAUCCAAGGUUCAGGAGAGAAAUUGGGGGGGGGGUGGAAUUCAGGCUCUACUAUGGAUUAGAACAGUUUUAAGAUAGGACUCAUCCUGUGCAACUACAAAGCUCCUCACUUCCUCACUCUCAGCUUGGAUCCAUGUGGUGGCCACCAUGAAGCCUGAACCUACAAGGACUUGCACCCAGUUGCUCCCAGGAGGGCUCCAUCUGCACAGUCGGACCACCACCUGGCAUCGCCCACCAUACAUUCAUCUUGAAGUCCAAUGGGGCUGUGCUAGUGUUGAGAAUGGUCUUGAGGUUCUAGGAGGACUCCGGGUACUCUCAGAGAAACAAAGAAAUUCAAGGUACAGUUUCUGCGAGUGCAACAUCAAGUCAACAGCAAAGAAAACGUGCAUAGAUCAGCACUUAAGCCAUGUUUGUACCCCCUUGUCCCAGGCACCUGCACAGCUGAUUUCUGUCUCUCAUAAUGGUUCAGUGGGAUUGCCAGGACACAAAGUCUUCUCAUCCACUUUACAGAGGUGGGAGCCAUCAUCCUCUCUCCCAACCAACCGACACUCCCAAUCAGAUGUCAUCAACCCAGCGUCUCCACAUUCCCAAUAUCCAGAUACCUCAAGUGAUGGAGAUUAGGGGCUACCUAAUACUGUUUUCCCCUGGGGUUCCAUUAAAAAUGAAAGUACUUUUUAUUGUGUUAAGAACACAAAACCAGAGAUCUACCCUCUCAACAAAAUUUUAAGUGUACAAUACAGUAUUGUUGACUAACGAUA